rnacentral:rRNA from 1 species
GACGAACGCUGGCGGCGUGCUUAACACAUGCAAGUCGAACGGAAAGGCCCUGCUUUUGUGGGGUGCUCGAGUGGCGAACGGGUGAGUAACACGUGAGUAACCUGCCCUUGACUUUGGGAUAACUUCAGGAAACUGGGGCUAAUACCGGAUAGGAGCUCCUGCUGCAUGGUGGGGGUUGGAAAGUUUCGGCGGUUGGGGAUGGACUCGCGGCUUAUCAGCUUGUUGGUGGGGUAGUGGCUUACCAAGGCUUUGACGGGUAGCCGGCCUGAGAGGGUGACCGGCCACAUUGGGACUGAGAUACGGCCCAGACUCAUACGGGAGGCAGCAGUGGGGAAUAUUGAACAAUGGGCGGAAGCCUGAUGCAGCAACGCCGCGUGCGGGAUGACGGCCUUCGGGUUGUAAACCGCUUUCGCCUGUGACGAAGCGUGAGUGACGGUAAUGGGUAAAGAAGCACCGGCUAACUACGUG